UGAGUCCACUGGAUUAGCAAAGCAGGGCAACGCCUUCUGUACCACCAUCUAUGCCAUCUAGUUAGGAGGCAGAAUCUCAGGACUAAUUGCUUCAUUUCUUCAUUUGGCCUUGAAAAAACAUUUCGUUAUUUGUUGUUGCCUGCUAUGUGGAAGGGACCAAGAAUAUCCUCUAAAACGGAAUCUGUUUUGUUUGGUGCUAUGGACACCCUAGGGAGGAAAAAAUUUUUUUGAAAGAGGAGCUGUCAUUUCCAACUUAUCUUUAUUACUCACCUCAAUGCUCGAGGAUCUCUCCACUCAUUCAUGAAGCGUAAUAAGGAGGACACGAAAGCUGGAGCUGGGGGAUGUCUGGCUAUUUUAUAUAAGAUGGCUGAGGAAGGCAGCACAGGUAUUCAAGCCAAGACCUGAGGGACACGAGCAAGCAAGCCACACAGACGUGUGCAAGAAAGGGGAUUGCAGCAAACGUGAAGAGGAAGCUGCAGCGUGGUUUGUAAAUCGUGAAAGAUCAAGGAAGCUGUGAGGACACAAUGAGAAGAUGGCCAUCUGCAAGCCAGGAAGAGAGCCCUCCCUGAGGAACUGAAUGGGCCAGCACCUUGGGCUUGGACUUCCAGUCUCCUGAACUAGAACUCUGAGGCUCUGGGGAGGCAGAAACACAAAAUGGAAGGAAAGUGAACUACUGGAUGUCGUCUGGAAGGCCCACCCUCUGACCAGGAACACCAGCAUUAGACACUCAUGUGAGCAAGAAAUAAAUGUCUCUUAUGUCGAAACAUGA